UUUCUGUUGAUGUUUUACAAGUAUAUGUAUACUGAAAUUUGGCACCCAGAAGAAUUCCAAAUUUCUCCACCAACGUUUUUUCUGAAAUGGAUAAAUUCAAGUAUCUGAAGCCCGCCUGGUGGACUGCAUCGUUGAUACUUUUAAUGCUGUUGUCCAUGACGAAGGGUGCCUCAAAAUAUAUCAACUUUGCAGCUUUUCCGAAAAUUAUUGAUAAUGUGUUGGGCACAAUAUCCACAACCAUAACAAUUAGACCGGAUUAAGUGUUGCCAACAACAAAUGCAAAACAGGGCGAGCAAGCAACAACAAGAGCAGCAACAAGACAGCAAUUCGAAGCAAAAAGUCUGAAAACUGGUAUCAGCAACAAGGCGCCCAGUGUGGACAUGACCCCGGCCAUGCGGCGCAACAGGUGGUGCCAGGGCAGCUACACAAACAAUCUCAGAUCGUGUGGGCUGGUCCACAUGUAGGCAAUAAUCUGAACAUGUCAGCUGCUGAUAUUGGUACAAGUUGCCGGGCUCAAAGAGUCGGCGCCACAAAGAUUGAAAAUAAAAGAAAAUAGUGCAAAAAAAA
rnacentral:sRNA from 1 species